UUUUGAUUUAUUAACUCUCUCUCUCUCUCUUUUUGUAUGUUUAUGUAUCUAUAUGUUUAUGUUCCUAUUCUUUCUUUCGUUCUUUCUUUCUGUCGUUUCUUUCUCCAUUUACCUGCCCUCUAAUCGUAAAUUGCCUGUAGUCAAAGCCCCGCCCACUUCCGCUUGCUGCUGCGUGCUGUUUACCAGCCCUUCCCGCGAGCGCCCCACCUGCACUCUAGUUCACUUCCGGUUAGAAUGGAGAAAAGAAGCCAAGCAGGUCCUAUGACGUGUCUAACUGACGUAGGAGGAAUCCUCGAAAUGGGGAAGCCCAUCGGAGAGCAUACACCGGACUACUGUCCUCCUCACCCACCGGGUCACGGGAGAGUCUGGAGUAUUCCAGGGAACUUGCAGAACAAGGCGGAGGACGCCCUGGACGGGGUGCCAAAACAUCACAGGGUACAGUCUCACAUACACACCCCGGACAAGUUGGAAUGCCUAUCACUGGGAAGGAAACCCCAGAAGCACGGGGAGAACAUGCAAGCUCCACACACACUAGGCAGAGGCAGGAUUCGAACCCCCAACCCAGAGGCGAAGCAGACGUGCUAACCGCCAUGCCCCCCUUGAGUUUUUCAUUAUUUAGCUAAUACUUUUUACCUUCCUGAAACUAACCGACUUAAAAUACCUCACUUUACCGAAUAUAUAGACCACACUACUGGGUAUUCAUGACAGAAGGCCAGUCCAAGACAUAAAAUGUGUAAAUCUGACAUGUCUCACUUUGUCAACAUUUUUAAAGGAUUUUAUUAAAUAACCUUAAUGUUAAGCGUGGGCCAGGCGGAGCUCAUCUGUUUUAUUACUGUUUAUCACGUUUAACA
ensembl:lncRNA